rnacentral:rRNA from 1 species
GACGAACGCUGGCGGCGUGCUUAACACAUGCAAGUCGUACGGUAAGGCCCUUUCGGGGGUACACGAGUGGCGAACGGGUGAGUAACACGUGAGUAACCUGCCCACAACUUUGGGAUAACGCUAGGAAACUGGUGCUAAUACUGGAUAUGUGCUCCUGCUGCAUGGUGGGGGUUGGAAAGCUCCGGCGGUUGUGGAUGGACUCGCGGCCUAUCAGCUUGUUGGUGGGGUAGUGGCCUACCAAGGCGGCGACGGGUAGCCGGCCUGAGAGGGUGACCGGCCACAUUGGGACUGAGAUACGGCCCAGACUCCUACGGGAGGCAGCAGUGGGGAAUAUUGCACAAUGGGCGCAAGCCUGAUGCAGCAACGCCGCGUGCGGGAUGACGGCCUUCGGGUUGUAAACCGCUUUCAGCAGGGACGAAGCUUUUUGUGACGGUACCUGAAGAAGAAGCACCGGCUAACUACGUG